rnacentral:lncRNA from 1 species
CGUGAGUGUCAGUGUAGGUCAGUGUAGGUGUGAUGGACCUUAUUCAAAGACACAGUAACAGAGGCAAACAGUGCAGCCGUUGGGAAAUCUCCCUUCUUAAAUAAAAUAAAACAACACAAAACCCAGAAAAAAGAACCCAAAGUGUACAUACAACAGUACAAUAUUCAUUUAAAAUUGCACAGUUUAGAUGUAAUGUAUAUAUUUUCCCCAGCUUUUCACAAACUUAAUUUUAAAACUCUCAGAAAGAAAAGAAAACAAACAAAAUACACAAAAUGUAAAUUCAAAAUAUUUCCCAUAUUCCCUUUAAAUCUGAAUAAGGUGGAGACCUGUUGUAAAUCGCUGUUCUGAUGCCCAGACGGUAAAAUCUAUUGCUAAGAGUUCCAAAACAAAACGAGAGAGAGAGAGAGAUAGGCCCCACACACACACAUACACAUACCAGAGAGAUAAGGUCUGCCAAUGCCUGUAGACGCACAUACCCACACACACACACACACACACAGAGGCUGGAGUGUCUCAUCAGAACUCCUGUCCUACACUUGUAUUUUCCUGUAGAUGUAACCAUUCCCCUAUUCCGCCAGUACUGCGCUGAAAAAGUCGAUGACCAUGCAAAGUUUUCUCAGCGCCAUUUUCAACUGUCCAUCUCGCUUGAAGAAACACGAUGCCAUCAUGCUAAUUAAAACAAAAAUCGAUAAGGAACAGAAAUAUGUGAAGAUUGUUGAGCCAAGCAUGGAAGAAUUCUUGAAAGCUGCUUUGGUGAAGUUCUCAAUGAAGUUCCUGAUGAGACAGGAACUGAGGUGGAUGCAGAAAUAUUUGAGGAGCUUGUGCAGCAGCCCACAACUGGUAUAUUCACCAUCACAUUUGGCAAUGGUAAACUUGAUUUUUCUCUAUUCUUAUUUCUUUUUUAAAUAACACUGCAUGCAGAUUAUGACCAAAGUACCCUAAGACUUUGGGGUGACAACCAGUGAAAAUUUAUUUUUGCUUCUCUCUCUUGUCAGUUCUGGAGUCUCAGAGAACUUUGUUCAAUAGUUCUCAAGGAUCACUGUCAUCUGACUGCAAUCGGGAAGCAUCAUUUUCUCAAGUACAUGAAACUGUAACAGAUUCAGCAUCACCGCUUUCACAGAGCGAGUCUGAUGAUACAAUCAUCCUGGAAGUUGUGCAGUGCAGCUCUGAUGAUCCUAUCCACGAUGAGAAUCAAAGUCCUCCCAGUAAACGGAUGAAAGUACAAUGGAUGGAUACAGCUUCAAAAAAAGUUGGAUGUAAGCUUUUGCUAACAUGAUAAAAAAAAAUUACGAAUAGGAUUUGUAAUAACGAAUGUCUGUUAACAGUUGGUUGAAUCUGCUGUGAGCAAGAAACCAGGUGGAGAUCAACUUAUUAGGGAAUAUAUUCGGCCUGACAGACUCCUCACGGCGAAAGCUAGUUAACAUUCCUGCUGCAGACAUGACUGAAAUGCAUGGGUAACUUUAUUUUUUAUUAAUAUCAAUAUUUGGAAGUUAUUUUUACACAUCAAAUAAAUAUGUCGCUCUUAUUCCUCUCA